GGGUGAGUAACGCGUAGGAAUCUACCCAGUAGUGGGGGAUAGCCCGGGGAAACUCGGAUUAAUACCGCAUACGCCCUACGGGGGAAAGUGGGGGAUCUUCGGACCUCACGCUAUCAGAUGAGCCUAGGUCGGAUUAGCUAGUUGGUAGGGUAAAGGCCUACCAAGGCUACGAUCCGUAACUGGUCUGAGAGGAUGAUCAGUCACACUGGAACUGAGACACGGUCCAGACUCC
rnacentral:rRNA from 1 species